GGCAUUUAUAUCAUUCGCUGCUUUGUUUUUUAUAUGAGCAUCUGAAACCUCCAGCCAGUGCUUUUCACGAUCUUAGUAAGGAGUAGAUAGGGAAAAAACAACUUACGUACUAUCUCUUCUCUGUGACACGACGUAAUCACGCAAACAAUUGCAAAUUAUAUAGUUAUUUUUAUUUGGGAUACUUUGAAACAAAUGUGGGAACAAAAUUAGCUUCUAAUAUUCUAUAAACAUUUUCAAGCUUAUAUAAGCGUGGAAAUUAGUCCCUUUAAUACUAAGCUUGUUUACGUCUCUAGACAAUACAUCGCACGUCAUUCAACUGUUGUUCAUGAAAAAAUCAACGACAUCGCAAAGAACAUGAAGUCCAUUACCUGUAUUGCUUCGGUAUUCAAUUAUACCGACACUGGUCGUUAAUAAACGAGUUAAAUUUCCAUCAAUUCUUGGGGGCACAAAUGGUGAAAAAUAGAAAAGAUCCAACUCCAGAAAUAGCUUGACUUAUCUUCUCCAAGCAAAUAGCCUACUAAGAUAACAUUAAAG